CAGGGAUUGCUUUCCAAACCCAGCCACUGCAGCCGCCCCCGCCACUUCCCUGCGGUCUCUCGCUGCAUGGGGAGCGCGCGUGAGCAGGUGGGCUCACAACAAUUUCAGAAAGGUAGACAAGAAAUCCAGGUGUGCCGGCAUCAGAUCCCGAUGUUUGAAGGGAAUGGUUGCUGACAAGGAGGGGACAGAAGGGGCGAAAUUUCUGUUUUGGCAUUAAUAACCACACGCCAUCUUGAAUUUCUGGCAACAACAACUAGGAAUCCAUCUUGGAUGCCCUUCUUCCCGCUCCUCAGCCACGCCGAUGCAGGAUAGGAGAAAGAAGAAUCACCAGCAUCAAGCAGAGUUACCACCUACCUGUUGCCUGAGGUCCACUCCUCACCCCACUGAGUCACCUGGUCGGUUCCGGACCCAAUCUGCGUCGUGAGGUCGUGAAGCUCCAGACAUAAGCUACAAGAAAUGGUAGAGACCUUUCAAGUUCCUCAUACCCCUUACCUGGGACCCAUCUUGGAGAGGGAGUAAACCCUUUUUGGUCACAGUCAGUAUAGUUAGUGUCACCUUUACCUAUUUACCUUACUUAUCUGUGUUGGCAGUCCUUUAGAGCAUAUCCCGUUUACUUACCUUGUUUGACUGUUGUUGGUCUAAUAAACAUACCUGCAUUUUA